GUGUCAGCCGCCGCGGUAAAACGUAGGGGGCCAGCGUUGCUCGGAAUUACUGGGCGUAAAGGGUUCGUAGGCGGUGCGGCAAGUCGGGAGUGAAAUCUCACGGCUUAACUGUGAGGCUGCUUCCGAAACUGCUGUGCUCGAGUGCGGGAGAGGCGAGUGGAAUUGCAGGUGUAGCGGUGAAAUGCGUAGAUAUCUGCAGGAACACCCGUGGCGAAGGCGGCUCGCUGGACCGCAACUGACGCUGAGGAACGAAAGCUAGGGGAGCAAACAGGAUUAGAAACCCCGGUAGUCC
rnacentral:rRNA from 1 species